rnacentral:rRNA from 1 species
UACGUAGGGGGCGAGCGUUGUCCGGAUUUAUUGGGCGUAAAGAGCGUGUAGGCGGCCAGGUAGGUCUGCUGUGAAAACUCGAGGCUCAACCUCGAGACGUCGGCGGAAACCAUCUGGCUAGAGUCCGGAAGAGGAGAGUGGAAUUCCUGGUGUAGCGGUGAAAUGCGCAGAUAUCAGGAAGAACACCCGUGGCGAAAGCGGCUCUCUGGGACGGUACUGACGCUGAGACGCGAAAGCGUGGGGAGCAAACAGG